UUCACCCCUAUUAGACCUUUUAAAGAAAGCCUAACACAAAAGGGGACAAUUGAAAUAAAUUAGGAAAAAAAUAUCCUCUCAUAUUCUCUGAUGCCUUUUUCUGCUUCGUAAUCUCACACUCGACAUUAGACAAAUAUUUUUAGUAGAAAAGUGCUUUCAUUUCUUUUUCUCUUACUAGCAUUGUAGUAUCAAUUCUAAGAGAUGUUAAUUCGCACAGUGUGAGGUGGAUAUUUAUAUUAAUGAAAUACGUGUCUAGAACUGUUCCUUUCUCCAAAUUAGUUCAUAUUUUAUUCCACACAAAGAAGAGAUAUAUAUUCUUUUGGAUUGUAAGUAAUAUUUUAGCAUUCGUUUUGGGAGCCACUGCACUAAAAUGCUAGGAGGCCAUGCCAAAAAGAUGAAAUCCUAAGGUAUGAUCAGCCAAAGCAGCUCAAAGCCAAGAGUGUGCCAAAAACAACACACGCUCGCGCGGUUCUUGUCUGCGCUCCAGGGCCUGGCAGGCUUACGGCGACGACCAAGAGACCGCCCGUUAGGGAUGAGAAAGUCCCGCGCCUGCCACAGAAGGAAACCGGGCAUCACUCCAUAAUUUCACUUUCUUGAAACUUCGCCAUGAUUUUCUUAAAGGCCACCGUUUGUCGUGAAAGGGACGCCUGCUUCUGCCUGCGAGCCGUCGGUUUUCUCCCCACAGGGGACUCCUGCACACACGGUCCCCCUGCACUCGGGAACGGGGUACGCAGGCUGCAAACACCUGCUGCCUGACGCGAUCCAGGAAGGCCGGCCUGAGCUGCGCCCCGAGUCGCCGCGGCCGCUGCAGGAGCCGGGACGGGCUCCCGCGCGCAGCGCCUGACCGACAGCUGAUCUCCUAUGGGGCUCCUGACGAGCGGCAUCACCACACAAUUCCUUGGGCCGCAGGAAGCACCCAUAUCCCUCUACGGCUCCAUUUCCAGAGAGACCGGGACGUAGAUGUGUGCUGGCAGAUAGCAGGACUAAGAGAGACCCACUGGAGAAACUACUGACAUUCAAGACUUCUUCAUCCUUUAAAAAAUUAUAUGUACUUAUAAGAAUUAAUAAAACAUAUGCACCCCAAUGAAGUGUAAAAAAGGGUUUAUGAUGAAUCCUCCUUAUAAAUUAAAAGUUUUCAAUAAUUCUGUUAAAGUAUGCAUUUUUCUCAUAAUGCUGCUUUAAAAGUGUUUUCCCAUAUGUUUCUGUCACUUUAAUUUUCCUUAUCAUUGUUUUAUGGGUUAAGUAAGAAAUAAUUAAUGUCUCAUUUAUGGAAACUCAUAUUCUGCAGACUGCAUGAAAGCCUGGUCAUGGGAGGAUUAAAAACAGUAAGACAGAACUCAAAGGACAUGAGACUGCUGACAGGCAGGGUUCCAGGCUCUGUGCGUCCAGCCCAGGCCCCGGCUUCGGGUUGCUGGCAAUGGCCCAAGGCCCGGGUGUCAGGCCGUCCAGGAAUGCAGGUAAAGCAGCCCAUUCUCCGUCAUCCCACGGCAAGGACAUGCCACAGGCCCACCACCUGUCCCAGAUCUAGCACUGAAAGCCCCAUGUCCUGGCCACCUUCUCAGUCCGGAGCUAACCAGGGUGGUCGCCGCCCCCUCAAGGUGCGAUCCAAAACAAGGAUCGGCAAAGGACAUUGAGGCUACCGAGGACUUUCAGUCCUGUUGGCUUCCCAGUUACUCCGGUCAGGUGUUCUUGCUUCGAGCAGUAAGAGGUUAACGUUUGACCUAACUUAGAAAAGGGACUCCCGGGGCAGUUCUAUCAACACAUCUGGAAUGCCGCUCAUGCAACUCAAUCCCUCCUCCUCUCCUACUCACGGCCACGUGCUGUUCGGAAAGUAUGCAUGAACUCAGAAGUAUGCAACGCAUGCCCACAUUCAUACCCUUGGUGCUUAAAGUCCAAGGUUAAUACUAUUUGCCUCAGAGUGAGGUCAUGCAAAUGUUACAGAUCAUGGAAUCAGACAUGUAGACACUAGGGUAGGUGUGUAUGUGUAUGUGUGUGUGUGUGUGUGUGUGCACGCACGCGUGUGUGCACACCCUGGAUGGGGGGCAGUCGGGAGGCUCUCGUCCCGACGUGAUGCCCGGGUCCCAGUUUCUGACGGCUCCAAGAGAAAACCUCCCUUUCCAGGGGCUGCUCCAGGCUCUGUGAACUCGCAGGCCUAGGCCUUCCCUUUUCCAGACAAGAAGAAAGUUAGUCACAUUUUUUUUUUCCAUUUUAUAAAAUAAAACCUAUGUGUGGACUCAGUAGAAGGUUCCUCUGGUUUUCAGUCGUUAUCAAAGUGAAUUUCUUCCCUUUCUGCCCUUCCAAGUAUAACCUUUCUGACACCAUUUUAAAAUUUAAAAAAAUUACACAUUGUCAUUUUCUUUUCUUUAAUGGCCAAAUGCUUUGUAUCCUAAUGCAAGAUUCACAAAAAUAUAUAUAUUAUAUGCCACUUAAUAAUGUUGAAAAUGUAUGAAACAUUACUUAUACAGUAACAUAUACUGCCUAUAUGUUUAUCUCUAACUGUAUAUAUAUAUAUGUGUGUGUAUGGAUAUGUACGUUUGUGUGUACAUUUAUGUAUAAGUAUGUUGUGUGUACACAACCUUAAGAACUACAUAGCAUAGUUGUUCCCUCUGGGGAGGGUUCUGGAAGGGUUCGAGCUCUGGAGGGGUUGGAGGAAUUCGAGGGAGACACCUUCCCUCACGCACACUUGCUCAGUGACAUUUCAACCAGGCCAUGUUGUUUACCCGCCAUGCACUGUCACUCCUCUUCUCCGAGAAGUGCUCAGGAGGCAGCCAUUUGUUGGGUCAGGUUGAGGCCUUUGGGCUGCAUGUCCUGGGUUUGAAUCUUGCAUGGGCCAUUUCCACCUACGUGACCGCUACCUGGAGCCUUAAUUGCUCUGAGCCUCAGUUUCCUAAAACUAAAAAUUCUAAAAAUCAUCUUAAUGGAUAACUAACUCCACUCAUUUGGUGAAGACAUGUGCUACCCUGAAAGACCGCACUGAAAUGGCUGUUUCAAAAAUGAAAGAGUAUUAGUGGAUAAAAGGUUUACAUUAAUUCCAAUUUCCCUGAAGAUAGUGGCGCCCAUUAUUAGGAAUUGGGAGAGUCACACAGAUAAAGGUAUAUCUAGAAACCAUUUCCUCUGUAAUAUUAAAAAGACUAGUACCCUUGUGCAGUGCCUUCUAUGUUUCAAAAUGCUUUAUAUGACAUCACAACUUCACACUUUCUGCUUUGUGCAUUUGACAUGGACUGGAGAACUAUUCUUUUUAAUUUCCAUUUGGAUGUGGUUAAUUCUAUGUUCCUGUGGAAGAUAAGAUAGCUUUGGUCUGAAACGUUCCUUUGUCAAAUCCCUUAAAAUGGAAGGUAAUGAGAGAAAAUCGCCACCAGUUUCAUAAGGACAGUGGGUACGUGGUACUUUAUUUUGAUGUAUAACUCUAGACAAAAGCAUUUACAGAUGGUAUUUUUUUUUCCUUUGCAGCUAGAGGUGAUUUCAAAAUAGAUUUGUGCUCUGGAAACAGCUGAAAGCACUGAAAAUGUCCAUAGAGAUGAGAAUCGAUUCGCAGUAACGGAAAGCCAGUGAUGACUGUAUUUGAAAGGAAAACUUUUACAGUGAAAAAAAUUAAACAACCACUAAUAAGAUAUGUACGCUCUUUCCUGGGGAAAAGGAAACUAUCUUGAAAAUGUUAGGCUCAAGUUUUUAAAUAAAAAAAUAAAAAUAU